AUUGAACGCUGGCGGCAUGCUUUACACAUGCAAGUCGAACGGUAACAGGCCUUCGGGUGCUGACGAGUGGCGAACGGGUGAGUAAUGCAUCGGAACGUGCCCAGAGGUGGGGGAUAACGCAGCGAAAGCUGUGCUAAUACCGCAUGUGAUCUGAGGAUGAAAGCGGGGGACCAAGCAGCAAUGUUUGGCCUCGCGCCUCUGGAGCGGCCGAUGUCAGAUUAGGUAGUUGGUGGGGUAAAGGCCUACCAAGCCGACGAUCUGUAGCUGGUCUGAGAGGACGACCAGCCACACUGGGACUGAGACACGGCCCAGACUCCUACGGGAGGCAGCAGUGGGGAAUUUUGGACAAUGGGCGCAAGCCUGAUCCAGCAAUGCCGCGUGCGGGAAGAAGGCCUUCGGGUUGUAAACCGCUCUUGUACGGAACGAAAAGGCUCUGGCUAAUACCUGGGGCUGAUGACGGUACCGUAAGAAUAAGCACCGGCUAACUACGUG
rnacentral:rRNA from 1 species